rnacentral:rRNA from 1 species
CCUUUGACGAUCGACUCAUGCUGCCUCGGCGGGUUCGCCCGCCAGAGGAUACAUCAAAACUCCUGUUUUAACGGUGUUGUCUGAGCUACAAGCAACGAAUCAAAACUUUCAACAACGGAUCUCUUGGUUCUGGCAUCGAUGAAGAACGCAGCGAAAUGCGAUAAGUAGUGUGAAUUGCAGAAUUCAGUGAAUCAUCGAAUCUUUGAACGCACAUUGCGCCCCUUGGUAUCCCGAGGGGCAUGCCUGUUCGAGCGUCAUUUCACCACUCAAGCCUGGCUUGGUGUUGGGCGACGUCCGCUUUUGGGGACGCGUUUCGAAACGCUCGGCGGCGUGGCACCGGCUUUAAGCGUAGCAGAAUCUUUCGCUUUGAAAGUCGGGGCCCCGUCUGCCGGAAGACCUACUCGCAAGGUUGACCUCGGAUCAGGCAGGGAUACCCGCUGAACUUAAGCAUAUCAAUAAGCGGAGGAA